rnacentral:rRNA from 1 species
CUGCAACUCGACUGCAUGAAGCCGGAAUCGCUAGUAAUCGCGGAUCAGAAUGCCGCGGUGAAUACGUUCCCGGGUCUUGUACACACCGCCCGUCACACCAUGGGAGUCGGAAAUGCCCGAAGCCGGUGGCCUAACCGAUAAGGGAGGAGCCGUCGAAGGCAGGUCUGAUGACUGGGGUGAAGUCGUAACAAGGUAAC